rnacentral:lncRNA from 1 species
AGAACUUAAAAUAAAAUUUAAAAAAGAAAAAGUUGGGUGGGUGUAAACACAGAACACAGGGUGUUGUGAAAGCUUAGAUGAGGGUCUGCAGGCAGAAAGUCGAGAAGAGCUUCUUGGAGGAGGUGACAUCCGCGGUGAAACCAGAACAGUCAGAAUUAGCCUGGUGGUGGUGAGAAUCAGUCACCCCUAACAGAGGGAGCAGAAGCUCCGAGGCUGAGAACAGAGAGGACAGUGUUUGAUGGAACAACUGGCAUCGCUGGGGCAUAGAGAUGGGGAGCGAUUAUGGAAGAGGCUGGGGUGGAAAUGCACAUGGAAACAAGGCUGUAAGGACAGGGACCCAUCUGGGGGCUUCCUCUUGGUGCUCAUGAAGAGAUACAGCCAUUCCUCAGACUGCAGGGAGGAAAUGUGCUCCCUUCCUCGUCUUUCAGACUUUUAGCAUUUCUAUUAUGAAGGAUGAAUAAGAAGGAGCAAGGAAGUAAUGAAUCUCUUUGGAAAGACCAACAAGAUGAAUAAUGUUCUACCAGUGGGAAGCACAUGCAAGGAGAAAUUGUGCAGAACUUCUCCUGCAUUCUCACUGAAUGGGUUCUAUAAAACCAGUCACCAGACAUGAGGGAAGAAAUUCAGCAUGCUGUAUGCUUUCAGAUUUCACCUCAAGGAAACCUGGGAAUUCCUGCACCCCCAAGACCAUAACAUGACGAAACUGGAAGUACAACGUGGAGGUCUACCUAAUCCAUCUUGGCUUGUUUUAAUGCAACUAAUAACAAUAAUACAUCACUAAAUGAAAUAUUCAGGACAAAUGCUAAAUUAGACAGAAUGUCAGACAAUGGGUAAAACCAGACCUCCCAGGCAAAUUGGGAUGCAGGUACAUUCACUCCCCCCAGUCAGCAUCUUUGUAUUCAGCACACCGCACCCUUCUCUUCAGUUACUUAUACUUUUCCCCUCUGUUUUGAUAUUUUGCAAAGUGGGCCUGAUAUGGUUUGGCUGUGUCCCCACCCAAAUCUCAUGUUGAAGUGUAACUCCACAGUUCUUACGUGUUGUGGGAGGAACCCGUGGGAGCUGAUGGAAUUAUGCAGGCCGGUCUUUCCUGCACUGUUCUCAUGAUAGCGAAUGAGUCUCACGAGAUCUGAUGGUUUUCAAAAUGGAGGUUUCUCUGCACAAGCUCUCUUUUUGCCUGCUGCCAUCCACCUAAGAUGUGAUUUGCUCCUCCUUGACUUUCACCAUGAUUGUGAGGCCUCCCCAGCCGUGUGGAACUGUAACUCCAAUAAACCUCUUUCUUUUGUAAAUUGUCCAGUCUUGGGUAUGUCUUUAUCAGCAGCACGAAAAUGGACUAAUAGAGGGCCCUUGAGAUCUAUUAGAGAUAUUCAAUAUUGCAAUUAUAUUUUAGGGCAAAUCUAAAACAAAAUUUAGCCAAAGCAUACCCUGGGUCAACUGGAUGACUUCAUUUGUAACCGACCAUUGAUGUGAUUUUAUUGCCUCUGUCUGCAGGUAUGUAUACCAAAUGAAAUUCCAAAAUGCCAACAUAUAACUUUUAAUGUAAUUUCCUGAAUCAGAGAUUGUGGAACUGUGGGAUACUGUAGAAGUAUCUUCAGGGGUCUAUGAAUAUUCUAGCUUUUGUAUUUUUGAAACUGCUCUAUUUUUAAACAUUUAUUUAGAAGUUCAAUUAAAUUUUAAACUUCACUGAGGCACAGGACCCUACCCCUAUUUUCAUUAUUUAUAUCUUUUACUACCAAAUUCCAUGUUUUCUAUUCAGGUUAUUCUUAGAAAAUAGUUACAGAAUAAGUAUCCCAAGA